rnacentral:rRNA from 1 species
CGAGGAAUAUUGGUCAAUGGGCGCAAGCCUGAACCAGCCAUCCCGCGUGCAGGAAGACGGCCCUAUGGGUUGUAAACUGCUUUUCCAGGGGGAGAAUUUUUCUGUCGUGACAGGAAUUGACGGUACCCUGGGAAUAAGCAUCGGCUAACUCCGUGCCAGCAGCCGCGGUAAUACGGAGGAUGCGAGCGUUAUCCGGAUUUAUUGGGUUUAAAGGGUGCGUAGGCGGAUUGAUAAGUCAGUGGUGAAAACCUGCAGCUUAACUGUAGACUUGCCGUUGAUACUGUCAGUCUUGAGUGUGGUCAAGGUAGGCGGAAUGUGUAAUGUAGCGGUGAAAUGCUUAGAUACUACACAGAACACCGAUUGCGAAGGCCGCUUACUGGGCCAUUACUGACGCUGAUGCACGAAAGCGUGGGGAUCGAACAG